GAUGAACGCUGGCGGCGUGCUUAACACAUGCAAGUCGAACGAAGCACUUUAUUUGAUUUCCUUCGGGACUGAUUAUUUUGUGACUGAGUGGCGGACGGGUGAGUAACUCGUGGGUAACCUGCCUUGUACAGGGGGAUAACAGUUGGAAACGGCUGCUAAUACCGCAUAAGCGCACAGCAUCGCAUGAUGCAGUGUGAAAAACUCCGGUGGUAUAAGAUGGACCCGCGUUGGAUUAGCUAGUUGGUGAGGUAACGGCCCACCAAGGCGACGAUCCAUAGCCGACAUGAGAGGGUGACCGGCCACAUUGGGACUGAGACACGGCCCAAACUCCUACGGGAGGCAGCAGUGGGGAAUAUUGCACAAUGGGCGAAAGCCUGAUGCAGCGACGCCGCGUGAGCGAAGAAGUAUUUCGGUAUGUAAAGCUCUAUCAGCAGGGAAGAUAAUGACGGUACCUGAAGAAGAAGCACCGGCUAAAUACGUG
rnacentral:rRNA from 1 species